GCCAAGUACCUUCUCGAACGUGGGGUUGAUAGAAGAGAUUUCAACUCUUAUGGCAGUCGCCGUGGUAAUGACGAGAUUAUGGCGCGUGGCACUUUCGCCAACAUCCGCAUAGUUAAUAAACUAUUGAAAGGGGAAGUUGGACCCAAGACCAUUCACAUCCCCAGUGGGGAGAAACUUUCUGUAUUUGAUGCUGCAAUGAGGUACAAGAGUGAGGGGCACGGUACAAUCAUUCUGGCCGGUGCCGAGUACGGAAGCGGAAGUUCACGUGAUUGGGCUGCCAAGGGGCCAAUGCUUCUGGGUGUCAAAGCAGUUAUUGCAAAGAGCUUUGAGAGAAUACACCGCAGCAACUUGGUUGGUAUGGGUAUUAUUCCUCUAUGUUUCAAGGCUGGGGAGGAUGCCGAUUCUCUUGGGUUGACCGGGCACGAGCGUUUCACCAUCGAUCUUCCGAGCAAUGUGGGUGAAAUCAGACCUGGUCAGGAUGUGGCUGUGGUGACAGACACUGGAAAGUCAUUCAGUUGCAUUCUAAGAUUCGACACGGAGGUGGAACUGGCAUACUUUGAUCAUGGUGGAAUUCUGCAGUAUGUCAUCAGGAAUUUGAUCCAUUCAAAGCAGCACUAAAUACUGGAAAAUACCGGAAGUGGGUUCAGGUUGAAUCGCUGAAUUUCUGAAUAAAAUGGGGAAGAAGUUAAGAAAGUUGUGCUUUUUAAGAGAAUUGUUUGGGACUAUCAUGUUCUCUGUUUCAAUAAUUCUCCAUGUAUGACAUAAUUUGAUCAAUUUUGUUGAUGGGAGAAGUAAAAUUUGUUGCCAG
rnacentral:misc_RNA from 1 species